UACAUUUUAGUGUAUGAUGCACAGAAAUUUUUGAUAUUUCUAGAGUGAGUUAGUUUAAUUCUAUUAAAUGUAG
rnacentral:tRNA from 1 species